CUAUUCUUGAGUAAUGAUGGGAUUUUCCAUGAGUGAAUGUGCCGGGAACAUUGGCGAGCGGUGAGCUCUGUGGGUGCCAACUGUGAACUGUGUGGGAAGAGCAACAAGACUCGAGAAUACAGUAGAUCCAGCUACUGUGAUGUAGAGCCAGAGAAGGAGGGAGGGGCAGGAGGAAGGCUUGAGUCCUUCCUGCCCAUAAACGGCACCGCUGGGGAAACACCAGGGAACUGUAAAGCACUUGACUGACUGGGAGCAUUUCCUGCCGACACGCUGCUUAUAAGAGGAAAAGCGGACAUGGCUGAGGACAGCAUUCGGACGUAAAGGGGGAAGUGUGGGUGAAGGAGGACGCUAAAGCCACGCUCCCAGUAGGUAUAUAGCGCCGGGGUGUGCAUUGUGCAAAACAUCGGUUUCGGAACCGCCCGAAAAUGACACCUACGAAGAGACACGCUUACGAAGCACAGUUUAAACUGCAAGCUGUCAGUUACGCGGAGGAACAUGGGAAUCGAGCAGCCGCAGCCGCGAGAGAAUUCAAGAUCAACGAAUCCAUGGUUCGCAAGUGGAGGAAGCAGGAAAACGAGCUUCGCCAAGUCAAGAAGACGAAGCUGAGUUUCCGCGGAAACAAGUCGAGGUGGCCCGAGCUGGAAGACCAACUCGGGCAAUGGAUUAAUGGGCAAAGAACAGCCAGGAGAAGCGUCUAUACAGUCACCAUUCGACUGAGGGCAAUAACGCUUGCAGAAGAAAUGAAAAUCGAACAUUUUCAAGGAGGUCCGUCUUGGUGCUUUCGUUUUAUGAAACGGCACAAUUUAUCCACCCGGGCAAGGACUACCGUGGCGCAGCAACUUCCGGCAGAUUACAAGGAAAAGCUGGCGUGGGAGCGAUGGAUGACAGAUGGCGAACACAGCUUUACUAAGACCGGGAGGCAACGCCGGGCGAGUUACGCCACCAUAUGUGAAUUUAUUGUGUAUGCUUGGGCUAACGUGUCUGCUUGCACUGUUGUUCGAGCUUUCGUAAAAGCCGGCAUAAUUUCUGAGGAGCCGCACGGCAACGAGAUUGACUCCGACGAGUACGAGAGGGAACCUGGCGUCUUUGAUUGAGAACUUGCCUAGCUGUUAAUUUUGGAUACAGAA